CAAAUCCCUGGGGAACGUCAUCGACCCCCCUGGACGUGAUUAAGGGGGUGUCCCUGCAGGAGCUGCACGAGCAGCUGGAGAGCAGCAACCUGGACCCUGCGGAGCUGGAACGGGCCCGGGAGGGGCAGAAACGAGACUUCCCCGAGGGGAUCCCCGAGUGCGGGACGGACGCGCUGCGGUUCGCUCUGUGUGCCUACACUGCCCAGGG